UGACUCGGAACUUGACCUAAACAGCAAGCUCACUAAAUCUUUGCGGUCGACAAGUCAAAAUUUAAGAACCAUCAAUUUGGCGAUAAUGAAGAUCAAGGAAUAGGGACAGCUUCUGCACCAUCCUGGGGAUUCUCAGAUGCAAAAGACAGAUACAAGUAUGACUUUCGUGAUUCAGGUGGCAUUGAGAACCAAUCAGUUCAUGAAUCGGAACAUUAUGCUGUGUACAAGGCUGAGGAGACCACAAAUAAACUAAAUGGCUGUCUGUCUAAGAGUUGCUGAAGAAAUUAGUGAAGAUGCUUAAAAAACUCUUGUUAUAUCUUGCAUCAACAAGGCGAGCGGAUUACUAGGACUCAUCGAACUGCUGCAGACAUUGAACAUGACCUUAGUAGGGUAUGCUUUUCCCUGGUCACCAUGAUGCUAAAUUAAUUUAAUGUAGGCAUACCUAAAUUAACUUGUAACUCGUGUUACAUGAUCUUGUAGAUAAAUUAAUUUGCAGCACUACAGCAGCAAUAUCAGAAUUAAACUGAUAUGUAGGUUGUAUUAGAUGAUCUUGUAUGCUUUGCUUGCUCAUAACCAUCAGUUAUAAGGUCAAUCGUUGAAUUUAAGUUGAUAAUCACAGAACAAAGUGC
rnacentral:lncRNA from 1 species